CUCAGAAUCUUGCUUUGUGUUAUUGGCCAGAUUGUGCUUCAAACGUGAAAUAUAAGGCAAAAUCGCAUGGUUUUGCACUCUGGAUCCUUUGUAAAGUUCAAACAUGUCAGGGAAUAAGCAGACGGAUAUAAGGAAGUGGUUUAUGAAAUCCCAUGACAAGGGCAAUGGCAAGGAAUCCAAGCCUGCAAAUCCUGCCCCAACCAAUAAAUCACAGCCAGAAGAACCGGCUCAUGCAAGCCAAGAAAGUUCAGACAGAAGGAAAACUAGCAAGUAUCUUGUUACUGACAAACAAAAGCCAAAAGAUGAAAAGGAGACACAGGAACUUCCAACAAAACGAAAGGCUCAAAAGCAUAAUGAUGAAUCAGUUAAACCACCACCUGUUAAAAAACUUCACAUAGUUGAUGAUGAUGAUGAUGAUGAUGAUGAUGACUUUAUCUUGUCUAGUUCUAGGAAGAAUUCAGUUGAUGUGACUUCUAGGAAGAAGUUGAAGAGUGGGUCAGGUAGGGGAAUUGCACAGAAACCUGUAGACAUUGAAGAAGGUGAUGAGGAUGAUGAUAAGGAUAUUGAUACUCAUCUUAAGUCUGGUGGAAUAGGUUCAUCAGCAGAACCAGCUAGUGGAAGAGGCAGAGGUAGUGGAUGGGGUGGAUUUAUGAACUUUGGAGAAAGGAAAGAUCCUCCACAUAAAGGAGAAAAGGUAGUCCCUGAGGGUGCUCCCAAUUGUUUAGCUGGUUUAACUUUUGUAAUUAGUGGAACACUUGACAGCCUGGAGCGUGAAGAAGCUGAAGAUUUGAUUAAACGCCAUGGUGGUCGUGUCACUGGAUCCAUCAGCAAGAAAACGAAUUAUCUUUUAUGUGAUGAAGAUAUUGGGGGUCAGAAAUCUUCUAAAGCUAAAGAGCUAGGCACUGCCUUUCUCACUGAGGAUGGAUUGUUUGAUAUGAUCCGUGCAUCAAAUCCUGCAAAAGCACUUGUACAAGAAGGAUCUAAGAGGCCAGUAGUGGAUAAGGUUGCACCUCUUCCAAAGAAAAGCCCACAGAAAAUAGAAGCAAAGAAAGAUAGCAUUGGCAACUCCUUGGCAGCAGCUGUAUCUGGAAAAGGCUUGAUCUCAGGGUUGUCCCCAGCUAAGCAUAAAACUCAAACCGUUGCAAUGAAUGCUUUGACAUGGACGGAAAAAUAUAGCCCAAAGGUUCUGAAAGAUAUUAUUGGAAAUGAGUCGCUGGUUGAUCGGCUUCGGAAGUGGUUGGCAAAUUGGAAUGCUCAAUUUCUUGAUACUGGAAAUAAGAAAAAGAGCAAAAGACACCAAUCAAAAAAAGAAGAGGAGAAGGGCAAAAAACAAAUUAAUUCUGCUGCCAAAAAAGCUGUGCUAAUAAGUGGAACUCCUGGUAUAGGAAAAACUACCUCAGCAAAAUUGGUUAGUCAGAUGCUCGGUUUCCAAGCAAUAGAGGUAAAUGCUAGUGACAGUCGUGGGAAGGCUGACACCAGAAUUGAGAAAGGAAUUGCUGGAAGCAAUGCAAAUUCUAUAAAGGAACUUGUCAGCAAUGAGGCCCUAAGUGUCAACAUGGAUCGAUCAAAGCAUCCAAAAACUGUGCUGAUUAUGGACGAGGUUGAUGGGAUGUCUGCUGGAGAUAGGGGUGGAAUUGCUGACCUUAUUGCUAGCAUCAAGAUUUCCAAAAUUCCUAUUAUCUGCAUUUGUAAUGACCGAUACAGCCAGAAACUAAAAAGUCUUGUGAACUACUGUUUGCUUCUCGAAUUUAAGAGACCUGAGGAAUCGCAGAUGAUGGCAAAGAGAUUAAUGGAAGUGGCAAAUGCAGAAGGCCUUCAAGUUAAUCAGAUUGUUCUUAAGGAACUUGCAGAAAGAGUCAAUGGAGAUAUGCGUAUGGCACUAAACCAAUUGCAAUAUAUGAGCCUCUCCAUGUCAGUCAUUAAAUAUGAUGACAUUAGGCAGUGUCUUCAUAGCGGUGCAAAGGACCAAGACAUUUCAUCUUUCACUGCUGUUGACAUCCUGUUUAGAUCCAAUGGGAAGUUGAGAAUGGAUGAGCAGAUCGACCUGAGCAUGAGUGAUCCUGAUCUAGUCCCUCUUCUUAUUCAGGAAAAUUAUAUUAAUUGCAGGCCAAGUUCGGUUGGUAAGGAUGACAAUGGAAUCAAAUGUAUGAGCUUGAUUGCUCGUGCUGCUGAAUCUAUUGGUGAUGGGGAUAUUAUCAAUGUACAGAUUCGACGAUAUAGACAGUGGCAGCUCUCUCAAAUUGGUUCCCUUGCAUCGUGUAUAAUUCCUGCUGCACUGUUGCAUGAGCAGAUGGAAACACGUAAACAGAGAAAGAAUAAUUUUAUUAGAUUUGGAGGAUGGCUGGGAAAGAACUCAACAACGGGAAAAAAUUUGAGGCUUUUGGAGGAUUUUCAUGUUCGUCUUCUUGCUUCUCGUGAAUGUAGUUUGGGGAGGGAAACCCUGCGAGUAGAAUACCUUACUCUCCUUACACUUGUUCUGAAACGAUUGACUGAGCCACUGCAGGAGCUGCCUAAGGAUGGAGCUGCUCAAAAAUUUGUUGAGUUUAUGAAUAUGUACUCAAUUAGUUGGGAGGAUUUCGAUACAAUUGUGGAGCUAUCAAAAUUUCAGGGGCAUCCAAAUCCGCUGGAUGGAAAACAGCGUGCUGUGAAGGCUACUCUCACCAAAGCUUACAAAGAAGGAAGAAAAACAAGAAUGGUACGAGCUGCAGAUUUAGUCAAGCUUCCUGGUGUGAAAAAAGCUCCUAAGAAGCGGAUUGCAGCAAUUUUAGAGCCAUCUGAUGAUGGAUUUGUUGAUGGUGGUGGUAGCACAUUGGCAGAAGGUGAAGAAGACAAUUCUUCAGAUAUGGAUGAGUUGGAAGGCCCUGCCAAUGUUGAGAAGCUACAAAUGGAACUUCAGAGUUUGAAUUCAAAAGGAAUGCAAGUGGAGUUCAAUAUGAAGGGCACAGGAAAGUCAAAGAAAACACCAGUUGGCAGAGGAAACGGUGGUUCUGGACCUUCGGAGAAGAAAGGUGCAUGGGGUUCAGUGGCUGGUGCCAAGAGAAGGAGAUGAGAAAUGAUGAAAGCAGAGGCUUUGGAACUUCAUGCAGCUGGUUUUUUUCUGCAGAGGAUACUGGGAGGGUACUGAAAUACAAUCCAACUAAUUAUGUAGGUUACACAAGCAUUGGUUGAAAGGCAAGAAAGCAGGGACUUCAGAGGUAUUAGCAGUCCUCCCCGGAUUUCCCCGACAAUGUCAGGACAAGGUAAGUUUUGCUAUUCACAUUGUACCCAAAAAUUUGGAAAAUUAUACUCAAGCUCCCAAUUCCUUCAAAAAUUCAGUUCCUGCUUUACGUCAGGGGCUGGCCUCAUGGAGUAGUUGCCAAGUACAGCCUAAAGAGUAGGCUUUUACAAACAUUGGAGGACAAUCAGGGGAAGGUUGUCAAGGCAACAAGUGAAGUGGAAGAGAAGGAUGGGAAAUUGUGGAUGGGGAGUGUUGAUGCCUUCCAUUGCAGUUUUCAACUUGACUUGAAGCCAAUAAAAUAAAAUAAAUAAAAAACCCUGUAAUCCUGAUAAAGGGCUUUCAUUGCUCAUGCUGGAAGUAGCUCCUAUGGCACACUCCCCCCACUAAAAAAAUGUUUUUCCCCAUGAUUUUCCACCUUUAGAAUCCGAAAUGUCGAGGGCCACUGAUUGAAUAUGAUUUUAAGAUCAUUUUGGAUUUGUAUUGAUAUAUUUUUACACUUUAAUGACCUUGUUUCAAUAUGUAUCUAGUAUUUUGUUUUCAUGGACUGACUUAUUUGUUCAUUUUGCCUUCUUGUUGUGCUACAGUUGAAAAUAAAAUAUUUUAAUAAAAAUUUUGAGA